rnacentral:tRNA from 1 species
GGAGGUAUAGUUCAGUGGUAGAAUGCAUGCUUAGCAUGCAUGAGUUCCUGGAUUCAAUCCCCCAUACCUCCA